UACGUAGGGGGCAAGCGUUGUUCGGAAUUACUGGGCGUAAAGCGCACGUAGGCGGAUUUGUAAGUCAGGGGUGAAAUCCCGGGGCUCAACCUCGGAACUGCCUUUGAUACUGCAAAUCUCGAGUCCGGAAGAGGUGAGUGGAAUUCCUAGUGUAGAGGUGAAAUUCGUAGAUAUUAGGAAGAACACCAGUGGCGAAGGCGGCUCACUGGUCCGGUACUGACGCUGAGGUGCGAAAGCGUGGGGAGCAAACAGG
rnacentral:rRNA from 1 species